AGAGAAGAGGAUCAGGGCAUUCCUUCUUUUCCGUUUAAAAAUUGCUGAAAAACUACUAAAUAAAUUAUUUCUGUUUCUCAAAAUAAACAAUUUGCUACCAGCUUUCUUGUGCAAUCCUUUCAGUACCCAAGAUGAAUGAGGCAUGUAUGUCUGAUUGCUUACACAUACAUGACAAAAUGUAAGGAGAACAGUACCCAUGUCAAAUACUGGCAUUUCUUGCUGAAUUCAGGGAGUUUCUCAUUUAUCUUGGCUGUUAGAAACCUGUGUUCUGGCAUCUGAUGGGCAGGGAGGUUCAGAGAUUCUACUUAAACACUGAAUCUCUCCUUAGAGUCAGGUGGUGAGGACCCUACAAGGAGUGCUUCAGAGAACUUAACUGGAAUGCCAGCUUUUCUUCAUAGGCAGGUUGGGCACCAGCAUGAGGAUGGUUUAGCAGCCCUCUUCAAGAGGGCAGAAAGCCAAUUGCUAGGAAGCACUAGGCCUUCAGUGGAGUCUGUAGUAUAUUUAACCUGAUACUUAAUUUGGGUCUCCAAUAUGAGGGUUUAGGCACUUGUCCAGGAGGUGGGAGAUCCAGCCUGUUCAGCAGUGCAUAAGCACCGCUUCUGCUGCCUAUACCCAUGUAGAACCAUGGUGCUCCAGCUGAAAUUUUUGCACAAGAGGCAUACUUACCUUUGUGUUGCUGUAGCAAGCAUAAGAAUUUUAAUCUUUUUUCAAUUUUUAAUUAUGUUUUCUGAAAACUGAGUUCCUUUUUUCCUUUUUUUCUGUCUGCUGUUAGAAAAUUGUGUUAUUUCUUCUGCAUUACUGAAUUACCGCACUAGAAUGCUGAAAUCAUGCAGCUCAGUUGGAAGAUUAAUGAGGUGUCAUUUCUUUUUCCGGAGUACAUUCUAAAAGCUGGAGGUCACAGGAGACAUACACAUUUUAUUAUUAUGGUUUAUAUUUUGCUUUGGGUGAAUAUACUUUAUUUCACUGGGAAUACGACAACAGUACCACCAGUCUCUUCCAGUGAGCUGUUCUCGAUCUGAAUUGUAGACUGUGUUCAGAACUGCAGCAAGCUUGGUGUUCUUGAGCGAUUCUCAAUUCAAGAGAACAUAUGUGCCUUCUUCCAUUUUAGGAAGUUUUUUAAAGGUAUACCAGAACACUGUAAAAUAUAUUCCCUUUGUUCUAUCUGCCAAAACAUGAAAAUACGGUCUUCUUUGAAGACAGUGUUUUGGUCAUUGUUCUUUGGGCAAUUAAUACUGUUCCAACUUUCACAAGUUUUUCUAUCUUUCUUGUAUUGCUAGAAAAAUGUCAUUGUAUAAGAACAUAACCUAUCUACUGGGUCAAGGCAAAAGUCCUUUUAGCCCCACAUCCUGUCUCUGAUGAUGGCAAAAAACAAAUGCUUGGGAAGGAGUGUUAAAAUAGACAAGUAUAUGGUGUUACUUCCUUUGAUAAACCCUUCCACCUUACAGCAGCCUGUGGCUUAAACAUGUCCUGAGAGAAAAACUGCAUCACUGUCUGUGUAUUUAAUAAUCCUUGCUAUAGUUUUUCUUCCAUUACUUUGUCUGAUUGCUUUCUUAAUCCACAGUGUUUGUUUCUUCCAUAAUACUGUAUGACAGCAAAUUCCACCAUUUAAUUGUACAUUGUGUAAAAAACAAUGUUACAGUUUCAAAUGUAGAUUUAAAUUUUCAUAGUGAUAAAUACAUUUAACACCACAUUCUGUCCUGGUCAGUCAGCUGAGAGGGAUAUAGUUGACUAAAUGUUUGUAUGUCUUUAAGAUUUAAUUUUUUCUACCAUAUCCAACGGGUAGACUUUGUUAAUAAGGACUAAAAACUUGCCUUCAGCUACAUCUAACUUAUUUUAUUUAGAAUAUUUAGCUGGGAUGAACCUUUAAUUUCACCUAAAUGAGCCUUUCAGCAUUUGCACAUAACAUCCUCAGCUACUGUAUAGUGGAUAUCAGGACUUUUAGCUUUACAGAGUUUAGGUCAUAGUUGAUUAGAAUACUGUUUUCAGAGAGUUAAUUAAACCAAAAUACAUAUUUCUUGCUGAUAUUUCUAGCUCAGGUUCAUUCUAAAACCUCCAGGUAAAUCGUUUUGCCUGGGGCUUCUGAAGAUGUGUGCAGGCUGAGCUGUCUAACAGACAUGGAGGGCUUAACGGUCAUGCAAAGAUACAGUAAAAUGAAAUUGAUAUAAU
rnacentral:lncRNA from 1 species